UACGGAGGGUGCAAGCGUUGUUCGGAAUCACUGGGCGUAAAGGGCGUGUAGGCGGUCCGCUAAGUCUGAUGUGAAAGCCCGGGGCUUACCCCCGGAAGGUCAUUGGAAACUGGCGGACUCGAGUCCCGGAGAGGAAGGUGGAAUUCCUGGUGUAGCGGUGAAAUGCGUAGAUAUCAGGAGGAAUACCGGUGGCGAAGGCGGCCUUCUGGACGGUGACUGACGCUGAGACGCGAAAGCGUGGGGAGCAAACGGG
rnacentral:rRNA from 1 species